ACUGAACGCUGGCGGCAUGCUUUACACAUGCAAGUCGAACGGCAACAGGCCGCAAGGUGCUGACGAGUGGCGAACGGGUGAGUAAUGCAUCGGAACGUGCCCAGUCGUGGGGGAUAACUGCUCGAAAGAGCAGCUAAUACCGCAUACGAUCUAUGGAUGAAAGCGGGGGACCGUAAGGCCUCGCGCGAUUGGAGCGGCCGAUGUCAGAUUAGGUAGUUGGUGGGGUAAAGGCUCACCAAGCCAACGAUCUGUAGCUGGUCUGAGAGGACGACCAGCCACACUGGGACUGAGACACGGCCCAGACUCCUACGGGAGGCAGCAGUGGGGAAUUUUGGACAAUGGGGGCAACCCUGAUCCAGCAAUGCCGCGUGCAGGAAGAAGGCCUUCGGGUUGUAAACUGCUUUUGUACGGAACGAAACGGCCUGGGUUAAUACCCUGGGCUAAUGACGGUACCGUAAGAAUAAGCACCGGCUAACUACGUGCCAGCAGCCGCCGUAAUAC
rnacentral:rRNA from 1 species